UAGGGAAUCUUCCGCAAUGGACGAAAGUCUGACGGAGCAACGCCGCGUGAGUGAUGAAGGCUUUCGGGUCGUAAAACUCUGUUGUUAGGGAAGAACAAGUGCUAGUUGAAUAAGCUGGCACCUUGACGGUACCUAACCAGAAAGCCACGGCUAACUACGU
rnacentral:rRNA from 1 species